rnacentral:antisense_RNA from 1 species
UGUUAAUGGAAAGAAAUCACCAUCUUUUGGUUCAUCUGCACAACAUGCGGUAGACAAAAUUACGGUAUCAUUCAAACGAAUUAAACAUGCACCAUCUGCUUGUUUAGCAAUUUCGCCUGUUUCAACGAUCAAUUUUUUACCUUCGAAGUCUAACGAAAAUACUUUUUUUGACAUUCUUUUUUCUCCUUAUACAAUAAAUAUUUUAGCACUUAGAAUUAUUUUUUCUAUUAAUUAUUUUAAUUAUUUAAAAAAUGUAUGUUUACGAU